UGAGGAACAUGACCUUCGGCGGGGGAGUAGCCGGCCCAACGGCCGGGUAAUACCGCGUACGACCACAUGGGGACAUCCCUGAGUGGUGAAAGCAGCAAUGCGCCGAUGGAGUGCCUCGCGGCCUAUCAGCUAGUUGGUGAGGGUAACGGCUCACCAAGGCGACGACGGGUAGCUGG
rnacentral:rRNA from 1 species